GGAUGUGACGGUGAUCUGGCUGUGACAUCAGUCAUCCCAUUGAUUGCCAGGGUUGAUUCGGCUGAUCUUUCUCCCUUACCACUACAUGUGCGUCCCUCCAUAAGAUGUGCACUUGGUCAAAGAGGACCUUUCCCCAGUUGAGGAGGACUGGACUUCAAGGGCAUAGGAGUAGCUGUGUUCCCCUGCUAGAACCUCCAAACAAGCUCUUAAGACAGUAGGUCCACAAAACUACUGUCAAUAGGGGGAACGGCCCACAGACAUCCACUGU
rnacentral:snRNA from 1 species